rfam:Bombyx mori DNA, contig: Bm_scaf141_contig39767, strain: p50T/Dazao, build 2, whole genome shotgun sequence.
UUAACUCAUAUUUGUAUGGAAUGGGAUAGUUUGCGUACGUUUGCCGCUAGGGGCGUUGUUCCAAUUGCAUACAAAAUUGGCUUA